rnacentral:rRNA from 1 species
GUGCCAGCAGCCGCGGUAAUACGUAGGUGGCAAGCGUUAUCCGGAAUUAUUGGGCGUAAAGCGCGCGUAGGCGGUUUUUUAAGUCUGAUGUGAAAGCCCACGGCUCAACCGUGGAGGGUCAUUGGAAACUGGAAAACUUGAGUGCAGAAGAGGAAAGUGGAAUUCCAUGUGUAGCGGUGAAAUGCGCAGAGAUAUGGAGGAACACCAGUGGCGAAGGUGACUUUCUGGUCUGUAACUGACGCUGAUGUGCGAAAGCGUGGGGAUCAAACAGGAUUAG